GGAAGCCAUCCGCAAACUCUGCGCAGAGCCUAAAGCCUUCCAGAACAUCCCUUCGAUCAUGAAGGAGAGGAUGAAGCUUCGUCUUGCGAGGAUUCCCUAAUGCAAGACAUUUCUGAACAACGCCACGAGUACUGGGGCCGUCCUUCUUCCUCAUCAUAUUCCCUCCAGAUCCUGGACCCUGAGCGUGUGGGACACCAGUGUCUGGGAGAGUCUGGUGGGUGAGCUUUCUCCGUGAUUCCAUUCCACUUCCCAGCGAUUCCCAAUUUCUGUGACUCCAAAUGUGCCACCACCACUUCUCCUCAAGUGCUAGCUCCCUUUUCCCCAUGAGAAUAUAAGCUCUUUGGUGGAAGGGACUGACUUGUUUAUUUUUGUAUUCUGAGCCCUCAGAAUAGUGCCUGUCCUAUUCAGUAAGACCUGAAUAAAUGCUCUUUCAUUCA